rnacentral:rRNA from 1 species
AUGGAGGGUGCCCACCGGCCGCCGUCGUUGAGGACGCCCACCAGAUGUUGCGAGCAACUUUCUUCCCCCUGUGCUUCUACGAUCAUCUUGUCUCCCAGCCAAGCUGCUCAUCGCCGUCGUGGAGAGAUGAUGUCACUUGCUCUCCCUCGCACCAGCGGAUGCUGCAUGGUUCCGCCGGUGGUGCUGCAUCACGGGAGGCCCUCGAGUUGGUGCUGCAGGCGGAGGCGCUGGUGGCCAUUGGGGCUGCUGCGGGACGGCGACGGCGAAGCCAAUUUUUGUGUGCUGGAAUCAGAGAGAUGCGCGGUGCUACAACCGGUGCCCAAAAAAGCUACAACCAGUGACGACAAACGCUUCAACCCGCUAUGA